rnacentral:rRNA from 1 species
GACGUAGGGCGCGAGCGUUGUCCGGAUUUAUUGGGCGUAAAGAGCUCGUAGGCGGCUUGUCGCGUCGACUGUGAAACCCGAGGCUCAACUUCGGGCUUGCAGUCGAUACGGGCAGGCUAGAGUUCGGUAGGGGAGACUGGAAUUCCUGGUGUAGCGGUGAAAUGCGCAGAUAUCAGGAGGAACACCGAUGGCGAAGGCAGGUCUCUGGGCCGAUACUGACGCUGAGGAGCGAAAGCGUGGGGAGCGAACAGG